rnacentral:rRNA from 1 species
CGCCAGCAGCCGCGGUAAUACGUAGGGGGCAAGCGUUGUCCGGAUUUAUUGGGCGUAAAGCGCGCGUAGGCGGUUUGUUAAGUCCGAUGUGAAAACUCCCGGCUCAACUGGGAGACUGCAUUGGAAACUGGCAAGCUAGAGUCCAGCAGAGGGAAGUGGAACUCCAAGUGUAGCGGUGAAAUGCGCAGAUAUUUGGAAGAACACCAGUGGCGAAGGCGGCUUCCUGGACUGCGACUGACGCUGAGGUGCGAAAGCUAGGGGAGCAAACAGGAUUAGAUACCCUGGUAGUCCUAGCCGUAAACGAUGGGCACUAGGUGUAGCGGGUUAUCGACUCCCGCUGUGCCGCAGCUAACGCAUUAAGUGCCCCGCCUGGGGAGUACGGCCGCAAGGUUAAAACUCAAAGGAAUUGACGGGGGCCCGCACAAGC